rnacentral:rRNA from 1 species
UAACCUACCUAUAAGACUGGAAUAACUCCGGGAAACCGGGGCUAAUGCCGGAUAAUAUUUAGAACCGCAUGGUUCUAAAGUGAAAGAUGGUUUUACUAUCACUUAUAGAUGGACCCGCGCCGUAUUAGCUAGUUGGUGGGGUAAUGGCUUACCAAGGCAACGAUACGUAGCCGACCUGAGAGGGUGAUCGGCCACACUGGAACUGAGACACGGUCCAGACUCCUACGGGAGGCAGCAGUAGGGAAUCUUCCGCAAUGGGCGAAAGCCUGACGGAGCAACGCCGCGUGAGUGAUGAAGGUCUUCGGAUCGUAAAACUCUGUUAUUAGGGAAGAACAAAUGUGUAAGUAACUGUGCACGUCUUGACGGUACCUAAUCAGAAAGCCACGGCUAACUACGUGCCAGCAGCCGCGGUAAUACGUAGGUGGCAAGCGUUAUCCGGAAUUAUUGGGCGUAAAGCGCGCGUAGGCGGUUUCUUAAGUCUGAUGUGAAAGCCCACGGCUCAACCGUGGAGGGUCAUUGGAAACUGGGAAACUUGAGUGCAGAAGAGGAAAGUGGAAUUCCAUGUGUAGCGGUGAAAUGCGCAGAGAUAUGGAGGAACACCAGUGGCGAAGGCGACUUUCUGGUCUGUAACUGACGCUGAUGUGCGAAAGCGUGGGGAUCAAACAGGAUUAGAUACCCUGGUAGUCCACGCCGUAAACGAUGAGUGCUAAGUGUUAGGGGGUUUCCGCCCCUUAGUGCUGCAGCUAACGCAUUAAGCACUCCGCCUGGGGAGUACGACCGCAAGGUUGAAACUCAAAGGAAUUGACGGGGACCCGCACAGCGGUGGAGCAUGUGGUUUAAUUCGAAGCAACGCGAAGAACCUUACCAAAUCUUGACAUCCUUUGACAACUCUAGAGAUAGAGUCUUCCCCUUCGGGGGACAAAGUGACAGGUGGUGCAUGGUUGUCGUCAGCUCGUGUCGUGAGAUGUUGGGUUAAGUCCCGCAACGAGCGCAACCCUUAAGCUUAGUUGCCAGCAUUAAGUUGGGCACUCUAAGUUGACUGCCGGUGACAAACCGGAGGAAGGGGGGGAUGACGUCAAAUCAUCAUGCCCCUUAUGAUUUGGGCUACACACGUGCUACAAUGGACAAUACAAAGGGCAGCUAAACCGCGAGGUCAUGCAAAUCCCAUAAAGUUGUUCUCAGUUCGGAUUGUAGUCUGCAACUCGACUACAUGAAGCUGGAAUCGCUAGUAAUCGUAGAUCAG